AGGGCACCACCAGGAGUGGAGCCUGCGGCUUAAUUUGACUCAACACGGGAAAACUCACCCGGCCCGGACACUGGAAGGAUUGACAGAUUGAGAGCUCUUUCUUGGUUCAGUGGGUGGUGGUGCAUGGCCGUUCUUAGUUGGUGGAGUGAUUUGUCUGGUUAAUUCCGAUAACGAACGAGACUCUAGCCUACUAAAUAGAUCGUCGGCUUACAAACGCCGGCGAGACUUCUUAGAGGGACAGGCGGUGAUUCAACCGCACGAAACAGAGCAAUAACAGGUCUGUGAUGCCCUUAGAUGUCCGGGGCCGCACGCGCGCUACACUGAGGUGAUCAGCGUGCUUUUUCAACCUACUCUGUCAAGAGUGGGGAACCCAAUGAACCUUCUUCGUGAUUGGGAUAGGGGAUUGUAAUUAUUCCCCUUGAACGAGGAAUUCCCAGUAAGCGCGAGUCAUAAGCUCGCGUUGAUUACUUCCCUGCCCCUUGUACACACCGCCCGUCGCUACUACUACAUUGAAUGUUU
rnacentral:rRNA from 1 species